GUUGAUCUAACGGGGUGCCGUUCGUCUUUUUGUGAGGCGGGCGGCUGAGAGGCUGUUGCAGGCCAACCCGAAGAACCUGAUCCGGUUUGUACCGGCGGAGGGAUUAGACGGCACGUUUCA
rnacentral:ncRNA from 2 species